GACGAACCGUGCGAACGUUAUUCGGAAUCAUUGGGCUUAAAGGGCGCGUAGGCGGAUGACCGCGUCGAGUGCUGAAAUCCCCCGGCUUAACCGGGGAAUGGGCCUCGAAACGGGUCGUCUCGAGGCGAGGAGAGGGACUUGGAACAUCCGGUGGAGCGGUGAAAUGCGUUGAGAUCGGAUGGAACACCAAUGGCGAAAGCAAGGUCCUGGACUCGUAUCUGACGCUGAGGCGCGAAAGCCAGGGGGAGCGAACGGG
rnacentral:rRNA from 1 species